GAUGAAGAACGCAGCGAAAUGCGAUAAUUAAUGUGAAUUGCAGAAUUCCGUGAAUCAUCGAGUCUUUGAACGCACAUUGCGCCUCAUGGCAUUCCGUGAGGCAUGCCCAUCUCAGCGUUAGAAAAUAUUCUCAAAUUUUAGUUUUGUGCUAAAAUUUGGAUCAUGUCAAGGAAGCUAUUACUAUUAUUGUGAUCGCUCUUUGGAAAUUGAUAGGUCUUUGAGUUGCUACUCAUAGAACGUGAUGAAUCUUUCUUCGUUCUAUUGUAAUUCACUCUGGUAGUCCUAAAACUUGUAUGCCUGUGGCAUAUCUUGUAAUUUGACCUGAGAUUGGGUAGGGAUACCCGCUAAACUUAAGCAUAUCAAUAAGCGGAUGA
rnacentral:misc_RNA from 1 species